AGUGAACGCUGGCGGUAGGCCUAACACAUGCAAGUCGAACGGCAGCACAGGAGAGCUUGCUCUCUGGGUGGCGAGUGGCGGACGGGUGAGGAAUACAUCGGAAUCUACUCUGUCGUGGGGGAUAACGUAGGGAAACUUACGCUAAUACCGCAUACGACCUACGGGUGAAAGCAGGGGACCUUCGGGCCUUGCGCGAUUGAAUGAGCCGAUGUCGGAUUAGCUAGUUGGCGGGGUAAAGGCCCACCAAGGCGACGAUCCGUAGCUGGUCUGAGAGGAUGAUCGGCCACACUGGAACUGGAACACGGUCCAGGCUCCUACGGGAGGCAGCAGUGGGGAAUAUUGGACAAUGGGCGCAAGCCUGCUCCAGCCAUACCGCGUGGGUGAAGAAGGCCUUCGGGUUGUAAAGCCCUUUUGUUGGGAAAGAAAUCCAGCUGGCUAAUACCCGGUUGGGAUGACGGUACCCAAAGAAUAAGCACCGGCUAACUUCGUGCCAGCAGCCGCCGUAA
rnacentral:rRNA from 1 species